rnacentral:miRNA from 1 species
UACAGUUAGAUCGGGAUGGU